GCGUCACUUCCGCGCGCCGCUAAACGUCACUGCCGGGCGCGGGCGGCGCUACGGAUCGCUGUUCAAGUUUGGUCUCAGUGGCCUUUCGCGAGCCAUGGAGAGUGACUUUUAUCUGCGUUACUACGUGGGUCACAAGGGCAAGUUCGGCCACGAAUUCCUGGAAUUUGAGUUCCGACCGGAUGGGAAAUUGAGAUAUGCCAACAACAGCAAUUACAAGAAUGAUGUCAUGAUCAGAAAAGAGGCGUAUGUACAUAAGAGUGUGAUGGAGGAACUGAAGAGAAUAAUUGAUGACAGUGAAAUUACCAAAGAGGAUGAUGCUUUGUGGCCUCCCCCGGACCGAGUGGGCCGGCAGGAGCUUGAAAUCGUCAUUGGAGAUGAACACAUUUCUUUUACAACAUCAAAAAUUGGUUCCCUCAUUGAUGUCAAUCAGUCCAAGUCGAUGCUCAACCACUGAGCAUACCAGCUGGGCUUAAAGCAGCAGUCCCCAACCUUUUGGACCUCACAGGCCACCAGUGAUCUGAGGACCACCAGUUGGCGACCACUGGCUUAAAGGACCCAGAAGGCUUACGAGUAUUUUAUUAUCUUGUCCAGGACCUGAAGUGUUUGGUCUUCAGUCUUAUUGGAUUGCACUUCAAGAUUAAACCAAUCUAGAUUGAAUAUUGGUGUGGACACUAGGGGGGUGGGAGUAGCUGGUUUUCAUUACCAUUAUCAGGAAAUUUUUGUGAAUAGAAGGCCAAUAUUUUUUUUUAUAAACUGUAAAUGAUUGUCUUCAAUAAAUAUAUAACAAAAUACAAUUAUUAUUUUA